rnacentral:rRNA from 1 species
UACGGAGGAGGCAAGCGUUAUCCGGAAUUAUUGGGCGUAAAGCGUCCGUAGGUGGCUAGUCAAGUCUGCGGUCAAAGACUGGGGCUUAACCCUGGAAAGGCCGUGGAAACUGACGAGCUAGAGUGCAGUAGGGGAGAAUGGAAUUCCCGGUGUAGCGGUGAAAUGCGCAGAUAUCGGGAGGAACACCGGUGGCGAAGGCGGUUCUCUGGGCCUUACCUGACGCUGAGGAGCGAAAGCGUGGGGAGCGAACAGG